AUCUACAGCCAAAACACCUUGAAUGUGUUCAAUCUUGGAAGCUAAGCAGGAUUAGGCUUGAUUAGUAGUAGAUGGGAGACCUCCUAGAAAUACUUGGUGCUACACGCU
ensembl:rRNA 5S_rRNA 5S ribosomal RNA